UACGUAGGGGGCGAGCGUUGUUCGGAAUUACUGGGCGUAAAGGGCGCGUAGGCGGUUCUUUAAGUCUGGUGUGAAAUCCCUCGGCUCAACCGGGGAGCUGCAUUGGAAACGGGUGGGCUUGAGGGUGGAAGAGGUAUGUGGAAUUUCCAGUGUAGCGGUGAAAUGCGUUGAUAUUGGGAGGAACACCGGUGGCGAAGGCGGCGUACUGGGCCUUUUCUGACGCUGAGGAGCGAAAGCUUGGGGAGCAAACAGG
rnacentral:rRNA from 1 species